AUUGAACGCUGGCGGCAUGCCUUACACAUGCAAGUCGAGCGGCAGCACGGGGCAACCUGGUGGCGAGUGGCGAACGGGUGAGUAAUGCAUCGGAACGUACCUUUCAGUGGGGGAUAACGUAGCGAAAGUUACGCUAAUACCGCAUAUUCUGUGAGCAGGAAAGCAGGGGAUCGCAAGACCUUGCGCUGAUUGAGCGGCCGAUGUCAGAUUAGCUAGUUGGUGAGGUAAAGGCUCACCAAGGCGACGAUCUGUAGCGGGUCUGAGAGGAUGAUCCGCCACACUGGAACUGAGACACGGUCCAGACUCCUACGGGAGGCAGCAGUGGGGAAUUUUGGACAAUGGGGGCAACCCUGAUCCAGCCAUGCCGCGUGAGUGAAGAAGGCCUUCGGGUUGUAAAGCUCUUUCGGCCGGGAAGAAAUCGCACGGGCUAAUACCCUGUGUGGAUGACGGUACCGGAAUAAGAAGCACCGGCUAACUACGUGCCAGCAGCCGCGGUAAGAC
rnacentral:rRNA from 1 species